rnacentral:rRNA from 1 species
AUUACCCUCAGUAACGGCGAGUGAAGCGGUAACAGCUCAAAUUUGAAAUCUGGCCUCACGGUCCGAGUUGUAAUUUGUAGAGGAUGCUUCGAGCAUGGUCUGGCCUAAGUUCCUUGGAACAGGACGUCAUAGAGGGUGAGAAUCCCGUAUGCGGCCAGGUGCCUACGCUCAUGUGAAGCUCCUUCGACGAGUCGAGUUGUUUGGGAAUGCAGCUCAAAAUGGGUGGUAAAUUUCAUCUAAAGCUAAAUAUUGGCCAGAGACCGAUAGCGCACAAGUAGAGUGAUCGAAAGAUGAAAAGCACUUUGGAAAGAGAGUUAAAUAGUACGUGAAAUUGUUGAAAGGGAAGCGCUUGCAACCAGACUUGCGCGCGGCCGAUCAUCCGGUGUUCUCACCGGUGCACUCGGCCGUGCUCAGGCCAGCAUCGGUUUUGGCGGCUGGAUAAAGGCCCUAGGAAUGUAGCUCCUCUCGGGGAGUGUUAUAGCCUAGGGUGCAAUGCAGCCUGCUGGGACCGAGGACCGCGCUUCGGCUAGGAUGCUGGCGUAAUGGUUGUAAGCGGCCCGUCUUGAAACACGGACCAAGGAGUCUAACAUCUAUGCGAGUGUUUGGGUGUCAAACCCAUACGCGUAAUGAAAGUGAACGGAGGUGAGAACCCUUAAGGGUGCAUCAUCGACCGGUCCUGAAGUUUACGGAAGGAUCUGAGUAAGAGCAUAGCUGUUGGGACCCGAAAGAUGGUGAACUAUGCCUGAAUAGGGUGAAGCCAGAGGAAACUCUGGUGGAGGCUCGCAGCGGUUCUGACGUGCAAAUCGAUCGUCAAAUUUGGGUAUAGGGGCGAAAGACUAAUCGAACCAUCUAGUAGCUGGUUCCUGCCGAAGUUUCCCUCAGGAUAGCAGUGUUGAAUUCAGUUUUAUGA